GUACUCUUGCUUCAGCAGCACAUACAUUAAAAUUGGACUGAGACAGGAAGGUUAGCAUGGCCCCUGCGCAAGGAUGACAUGCAAACUCCUGAAGUGUUCUACAUGUUA
ensembl:snRNA U6 U6 spliceosomal RNA